rnacentral:rRNA from 1 species
UAUGGAAUCUUCGGCAAUGGACGAAAGUCUGACCGAGCAACGCCGCGUGAGUGAAGAAGGUUUUCGGAUCGUAAAACUCUGUUGUUAGAGAAGAACAAGGACGUUAGUAACUGAACGUCCCCUGACGGUAUCUAACCAGAAAGCCACGGCUAACUACGUGCCAGCAGCCGCGGUAAUACGUAGGUGGCAAGCGUUGUCCGGAUUUAUUGGGCGUAAAGCGAGCGCAGGCGGUUUCUUAAGUCUGAUGUGAAAGGCCCCGGCUCAACCGGGGAGGGUCAUUGGAAACUGGGAGACUUGAGUGCAGAAGAGGAGAGUGGAAUUCCAUGUGUAGCGGUGAAAUGCGUAGAUAUAUGGAGGAACACCAGUGGCGAAGGCGGCUCUCUGGUCUGUAACUGACGCUGAGGCUCGAAAGCGUGGGGAGCAAACAGG